UACGAAGGGGGGCUAGCGUUGCUCGGAAUCACUGGGCGUAAAGCGCACGUAGGCGGAUUGCUAAGUCAGGGGUGAAAUCCUGGAGCUCAACUCCAGAACUGCCUUUGAUACUGGCGAUCUCGAGUCCGGGAGAGGUGAGUGGAACUGCGAGUGUAGAGGUGAAAUUCGUAGAUAUUCGCAAGAACACCAGUGGCGGAAGGCGGCUCACUGGCCCGGUACUGGACGCUGAGGGUGCGAAAGCG
rnacentral:rRNA from 1 species